UCUUGUGCCUGGAAGGAAGAGGGAAGGAGGGAGGGAAAGAAGAAAGGGAAGGAGGGAAAGAAGGGAGGAAGGAAGGAAAGAAUAAAAGAGGGAAGGAGGGGAGGAAGGAAAGGAGGGAGGAGAAAAGGAAAGAGGAAAGGAAAGAAGGAUGGAGGGAAUGAAGGGAGGAAGGAAGGAAGGAAGAAAAGAAGGAAGGAAAUAAGAAGGAAGGAAAGAAGGGAGGAGAAUGGGAAGGAAGGAAGGAAAGAAGAAAGGGAGGGAGGGAAAGAAGAGAGGAAGGAAGAAAGGAAGAAAAGAGGGAAGGAGGGAAAGAAGAAGGAAGGAAAGGAGGGAAGAGAAAGAAAAGGAAGAAACGAAAGAAGAAAGAGAUGGAAGAAGGAAGAAAGGAAGGAGGGAAAGAAGGAAAGGAGGGAGGAGAAAGGGAAGGAAGAAAUGAAAGAAAGGAAAAGAGGGAAGAGGGAAGGAAGGGAAAGAAGGGAGGAAGGGAAUAAGCAUUUAUUAAGUGCUAAGUACUAUGCUGACCACUUUAUUCUCUCAUUUGUUCUUCACAACUCUGAGGUAUGUGCUAUCUCCAUUUUACAAUGGAGGGAAAUGAGCAAAGGUGAAGUGACUUGCCCAGGUUGGCAUAAGCUAAUAAGUGUUAGAAGCUGGAUUUGAAUUUAUUUUCCUGACUCCUGACCUAGAGUUCUAAUGCACUACCUUAAUACACAAUUGUUGACUUGCCUUCUCUGCUUGGCCGCUGUUGUCUGUCCUCUGCUGUUUUGUACCACUGGCCAAGUAUCACCAGCGCAUUUUUUAGCUCAUUUUUUAGACCCAGAGCCAUGCCCCUCUGACUGCUGUUGAGAUUUUUUUUCAAACCAAGCCCCAUUUGGGGUUGGGAGGACACUGCCACCAGGAAGCCUCCCAGGCUUUUUUGGUUGGGACAAGUAAAUUCAAUCCCUCUUCUGCCCUGGCAAGUUGGGACCAGAGUGGUACAAAUUCCCUGAAAGCUUCCCUAAGCUUCAAGGAGAAAGCGAUUAUAUGGGUUAGAGUUGGCAACCUCGCCCUGCCCUCCUGCCACCAGAGUCACACAUGUUCUUCUUGGCUGAGGAGAAAGGGAGGAGGCCUGGCUCCAGGAAGCUGGGAAGCCCGAGCCUGAGUGAGAACCCGGCACUAGAGCUACUAGAGAGGUUUUGCCUGGAGCAGGGAAUGCAUGAAGUGGAUUUUCAAGUCUGUAGUUGCAGAGGAGAGAUUAGCUUUGUUCUGCCUCACCCAGAAGGUCCCAGGUCUAGAACUAUGGGGUAGAGUUUGAAAAACAAAAAACAAAAAAACGAGGGAAAGCAACCUCCUGGGGGCUCUCAGAGUGCAAUGGGCAGCCUGGCAAGGAAGGGGGUCUUCAAAGGGGCAGGACAUCCAUUGGUUGGGAGUAUCAGGUGUUUUCUGCUUAAUUCCCUACUUUCUGUCCCAAACUAAAGGGCAAGGGCUAGACAAAUGGGGUUCAGUGACUUGCCCAGGGUCACCCAGCUGGGAAGUGUCUGGUCAAAUAUGAACCCAGAACCUCCCUCUCUUGGCCUGGCUCUCAAUCCACUGAGCCACCUAGUUACCCUCCCCCCACCUUGUUGUUUUUAGGGUAAAAUGGGAUGUUUGUCACGCCUUGGGGGAACUUUAAAGCACUAGU
rnacentral:lncRNA from 1 species